ensembl:lncRNA
GUCCCAAUAUGCCCAAAUAUUAAAGAGAAAUUAAAAAUGCAUGCCAUGGAAGAGUUCAGGUCUUAAGGGGGUUAAAGAAAUACAGAUAAAAACCUGUGAAAUAUCAAAACAGAAAAUUCCUUCAUGGAAAAACUGUAGAUUGUACAGUAUUUUUACGGAUUUCUUUUUACUGUGUGUAUGCUGCAAAUAACAGUCUUGCAACUUGCACUGGCCACAAAUUCUGCUUAUAGCUCUUCAUUGUUAUACGUUUUGUGAAAUGGUUUAUGCUCCCUGCUUCUAUUUUCAUACCUUGGUUUCCUUGUGUUUAUGAGUUAUUAUUAUUCAAUAUUGUUUUUCCUCUUUAUUAUGCAUCUCUAUUUUAAAUGUCUCAGGUUUAUUAGUUUACCCUUUAGUGUUCCCUCUUGUCCUUAUACACUCACCUCUGUAUUUUGUAUUUUUUAGUUUCUUCCAUGUUAAGUCUGCCAUGUUUGUUUGUUUUUGUCUAUGUCCAACUCAUGUGUCUUAGUAUGUUAGUGUUUUAUUUUGACAGUCCCCUGUCUCAUGUGCAUUAUUUCAGUUUUACUCCCCCCGUCUCAUUAUGUCUAAUUUGUCCCUACUGUGUUUCCCCGCUGUCUCCACUCCCCUAAUCACCCUCCAGUGUAUACAUUGUAUCACUUUCGCUUUGCCAGCUCAUUUUCCCAGUUUGCCAUUCAUCACUUUCCCAGUUUAGUUCUACUAAUUUGAAAUUCUCAGUUCUUUUAUUUAUUUUAUUUUAUUUUAAUAUUAUUUUUUUUGUUUUUGGAAUAAAUGUCUCACUUUUAUUAAGAUUAAUCCUGUCUUUUUGUAUUUGGGUCUUUUACCUCAGGACUCAGUCUGCACAUCUUACAGACCUAGACACCCAUAUUGAUUAAAAAUUUUUUUUUUUUAAAGUACUAAAUAUCAACUAUAGAUUGGGUUUUUAUAUGAUACUACAUAAAAAUGUUUUUCUUGUCCAUAUUUACUUUUAAAAUGGUAUUCUGAUAAAAAAAUAAUGGAUGUACCUUUUUAUGUUUAAGAUGUUCAUAAAUGGUUGUUGUAAUUACAAAUCUUAAUAAGUACAUACUGAUUGAAAGGAUGUUAUUACAGAUAAAAUCAUGUGUAUUUAAUGCAUAUGAAUAAUAAUUUUUUUGAAACAGCUGCACUUAACAGGAAUAACUACUCAUCUGUGGUCUUACGUAGCUUUUUGACUGUGUCACAUCUGAAAAUACUUAAGCCUGUAAGUUCAAGUAGGAAAAGAUAUCCCAUGAUUUUACACACAAUGUCAUUGCAUUUACUUGUAAGGUGUGUCAAAAACAUCUGUUUCUUCACUGGAGAUGGCAGUAGGCAACAUGCACUGGGGAUACUAUUUGGUAUGCUUAAACAUGGUCAUUGGAGCAUAUAACUUUUUUUAUGUUUUAUUUUGAAAAGCAACAAAAAAGACAUAAAGUUUAAUGCAGGCUGCUGAUAUAUUGUCCUGCAUGUUAAGCUGUAAUAUUCAAAAACAAACUUCAUAGUCAUUCAAGUCCACCAGCAUACAACAGACCCCCACCCCUUCCCUGAGCUAAUAGU